GAUGAACGCUGGCGGCGUGCCUAAUACAUGCAAGUCGAGCGAACAGGCGAGGAGUUUGCGGCUCUGACGUUAGGGGCGGAUGGGUGAGUAACACGUGGAUAACCUUCCUAUUAGAGUGGGAUAACGUCGGGUAGCCGGAGUAAAUACCGGAUACUAUAUUUAACCGCAUGGUUCAAUAGUUUAAGACGGUUUGGCUGUCACUUAUAGAUGGAGCCGCGUCGCAUUAGCUAGUUGGUAAGAGAUCGGCUUAUCAUGGCAACGAUGCGUAGCCGACCUGUGAGUGUGUACAGCCACACUGAGUAUGGCAUGCGUUCGAGUCACCUAGGGGCGGCCGACUUACGGAAUCUUCGGAAAUGGGAGAAAGCCUGACGGAGCAACGCAAGCUGUGUGAUGAGGGUCUUCGGAUCGUAAAACGCUAUUCUGAGGGAAAAAGACAUGUGUGAGUAACUAAGCUGGUUUUGACGGUACCUAAUCAGAAAGCAACGGCUAACUACGUG
rnacentral:rRNA from 1 species